rnacentral:rRNA from 1 species
AUUGAACGCUGGCGGAAUGCUUUACACAUGCAAGUCGAACGGCAGCACGGGGGCAACCCUGGUGGCGAGUGGCGAACGGGUGAGUAAUACAUCGGAACGUGCCCGGUCGUGGGGGAUAACGUAGCGAAAGUUACGCUAAUACCGCAUACGAUCUGAGGAUGAAAGCGGGGGACCUUCGGGCCUCGCGCGAUCGGAGCGGCCGAUGUCAGAUUAGGUAGUUGGUGGGGUAAAGGCCUACCAAGCCGACGAUCUGUAGCUGGUCUGAGAGGACGACCAGCCACACUGGGACUGAGACAAGGCCCAGACUCCUACGGGAGGCAGCAGUGGGGAAUUUUGGACAAUGGGCGCAAGCCUGAUCCAGCCAUUCCGCGUGCAGGACGAAGGCCUUCGGGUUGUAAACUGCUUUUGUAUGGAACGAAAAGGCUCUGGCUAAUACCUGGGGCUCAUGACGGUACCGUAAGAAUAAGCACCGGCUAACUACGUG